rnacentral:rRNA from 1 species
UACGAAGGGGGCUAGCGUUGCUCGGAAUCACUGGGCGUAAAGCGCACGUAGGCGGCUUUUUAAGUCAGGGGUGAAAUCCUGGAGCUCAACUCCAGAACUGCCUUUGAUACUGGGAAGCUCGAGUCCGGGAGAGGUGAGUGGAACUCCGAGUGUAGAGGUGAAAUUCGUAGAUAUUCGGAAGAACACCAAUGGCGAAGGCGGGUCUCUGGACAGUUCCUGACGCUGAGGCACGAAGGCCAGGGGAGCAAACGGG